GAUGAACGCUAGCGGCAGGCCUAAUACAUGCAAGUCGAACGGUAAGUAUUUUAGCAAUAGAAUACGAGAGUGACGUACGGGUGCGUAACACGUAUGCAACCUACCCUUUACAGGAGGAUAGCUCGGGGAAACUCGAAUUAACCCUCCAUGAGAUCACAGUGUGGCAUCACACAGUGAUUAAAACUCCGGUGGUAAAGGAUGGGCAUGCGUCUGAUUAGUUAGUUGGCGGGGUAACGGCCCACCAAGACGAUGAUCAGUAGGGGAACUGAGAGGUUGAUCCCCCACACUGGCACUGAGAUACGGGCCAGACUCCUACGGGAGGCAGCAGUAGGGAAUAUUGGUCAAUGGAUGGAAGUCUGAACCAGCCAUGCCGCGAGCAGGAAGAAGGCCUUCUGGGUUGUAAACUGCUUUUGCCAGGGGAUAAAAAGACCAUGCGUGGUUAAUUGAAGGUACCUGGUGAAUAAGCCACGGCUAACUACGUGCCAGCAGCCGCGGUAAUACG
rnacentral:rRNA from 1 species